CCACCCCCGACGCGGCCUGCGGUCUGUGAAAAGUCUUUGUUCUCUACUAAGAGGGCGUCGCCCAAAGUGGGCAGACGUUAGAAAACCCCACAGUGGUCAGUCGGCGCGGAUGACUUCUUCCCCAACGGAGAGCUCCCUAUAGAGUGGAAGGGGCUGAGAUUUGAAGCCGGAGUACAUUGGUUAUAGAGUGUGUGUUGCUGUUGGGCAGCAGAAUUUCAAAAACCUCUGAGACUCCCGGCUUGAAAAAUUGUUAAGCCUAUCUCAAGUCUCUUGUAGUUUUGGAAAAUACUUCCUCCUGCAGGUUCCGUAGUAUCCUUGACGUAUCCUUGAUGCUCCUAGGGUACUAAGCACCUGUUUUGUGCCUGACUUGCUCUUGAAACUGCCCUGGAAGACAGCAGUCUCACUCACAGAGUAUGGGCUAUGGCUAGCACAAGGCUUAAUUCAGGUGUUUAUUGUAGGACCUAGAAAGCUUUCAACUGGAUUCUGAAGGUGAUAGUGGCUCAUAGGCCUUGCUACUAUACAAAGGCUUCUGACCAAUGAACAGUGAAAGCAACUUUGGAUUCGAAAAAGGGUGCCAUUUACUUGGUACCUGAGGUGUCAUUUUAGUUUGAUCAUAAUCCUUGGCUGUAGACACCUUUCUAGUACACAUAGAUACAAAAGCGUAUGAUCAUCUAGGUCUAAAUAGCACAGACACCCAGGCCUGUGAUCUUUAGCCAAUAACAGCUACCUGUUAAGGAGCAUCUGUGAGUUGUUAUUUAUGCUUUAUAAGUAAUAUCACAUUUAACCUUAUGAUAAUCUUACAAAUUUUUUAGUAUUGUCAGAUGGGGAAACGGAAUCAUCCAGUUGAGUAAGUUGUCUAGUAAACAAGGCCCAGGUGGACAGAGGGGUCCAUGGGGUUGCAAAGAGUGGAACACUACUGAAGCGAUUUAGCAUGCAGCAUGCAAGUUUCUGUUCAAGUCUUUUACUUAAGAUACUUAACUACCCUGUGAUUAAGUCUGCAUUUAAUCUCUAAGAACAGUUUGCUUCUUUUCCCCUUUUGGGGAGAAUUCUCACUAGAGUGGAUUAAUGAGACCGGUUGGCAUGUUAUACAACCCUCUGAAAUGUAUUAUUUCGCUAAGUACACUGUCCCCCCAACCCCCAUAACUAUGCUUCUUGCUGCUGCAGAACCAGGUUUUUUACAUUUAUGCGUCCUGCCAUAAUUCUGUCUUCUUUAGGCUCACUCUAAUAGUGCAGCAGCUCAAAUUUUGCUGCUUGUAUUCAAUCUUUUUUAUUUUUAAAACACAGUCUCUGAAAUUGUAAGUCAGUAUAGGAAUAAAUUGGAGCUUCCCGGGUAGCUCAAAUGGUAAAGAAUCUGCCUGCAAUGCAGGAGACCUGGGUUUGAUCCAUGGGUUGGGAAGAAGGGCAUGGCAACCCACUCGAGUAUUCUUGCCUGUAGAAUCCCAUGGACAGAGGGGCCUGGUGGGUUGCAGUUCAUAGGAUCACCAAGAGUUGGAUGACUGAAACGACUAUACAUGCAUAGGAAUAAAUUAGAAUUUGCUAAUUAAAGCAUGUGUGUGAAUAAGAAGUUAAAUGAAAAACAGCUUUGAAAAAAAAAGAUUCAAGAGCAGUGAAUUGAAGAGAAACAGAGAUCCCAAUUAGGGAUCAGGUGGCAAUUAGGCCUCUCUAGGUAGGGAUAUCGCCUUCCCUCCUCCAAUUUGGGUAAUAGGCAGCAGCACUCGUCAGAAUCUGAAAUAAAUGGAGAAGCUCCGGAAAAACGUGAACCAACGUGACCUGGAGAAAAAGGGGGCGGAUGAAGGUGGAACACAAAACAAGGCUUGAAACAAACUGCCUCGGGAUAUUGCUAUUGCGCUGCGCCUGGGCGCCAGGUGGUAGGAUGGAGCGCAUCUUCUGUGUUCCCUACAGCUUGUACCCGGGCUAUGGGAACAUGCUACGUUUGGGCCAGUCUGGACUCUCUGAGCACAGACAACCGCACUGGAGGCAAACCAAUGUUCCCCCCACUUUCCUGGCCAGGCCCAGGCUGCUGAUGCCCUCCAAUGCCUCCGACUGCUGCGUGGACCCUUACAAGAGAGCCCAGCUCAUGGCCGUUUUCUCCCAUAUGAACCCCGGCCUGAGCCUGCGGCUGCGCAAGGCUAACACCAAGGAUGUGGGCGUGCAGGUGAGCCUCCGGGUGGGCAAGUCCGUGCAGUGCUCUCUGGGGCCUCGCACCCUGGACAGCCUCUCCCCCUGGGCCAGCGCAGGCCACAGGGCACCCAUAUCUGCCUGGGGCCUCUCUUCGCCGGUGCCCGGCCACUGGGGUGAGGUGCGACUGCGGGAGGAGCUCUCGGGUCCUCCCGAGGCUGGCCAGCCGCCCCUGCCACUACCACCACCAUCACCACCACCAAGGUCGGAAGAGGAUCCCCCCAAGGAACUUCAGCCACGUGAGGAGCUGGUGGAGGAAGACUCCUCGAGUCCUCGGGAGAGGAAGAGCGAGCCGGCCCCGGUAGACUCCAGCCAGCCGCUUGGGAGGCCCAACUUCCAGUUUUUAGAACCCAAAUAUGGCUAUUUUCACUGUAAAGAUUGUAAGACCAGAUGGGAGAGUGCUUAUGUGUGGUGCAUUUCUGGAACUAAUAAGGUUUAUUUCAAACAACUCUGUUGCAAAUGCCAAAAGAGUUUUAACCCUUAUCGAGUGGAAGCAAUCCAGUGCCAGGAUGACGGAUGGAGGCUGUUCCAGAACGGUCCUAUGCUACCUUGGUUCUUAAGAGUAUUGCUACACGUGGGAAGUUCUGCCAUCCUCUUUAUGAAAAGUCCUGCAGGUAACAAGAGGGAGAACAGUCUGACCAAGCCUUUUGAAGGCUGAGAAGACACCGAAUGACGUCAUCCCAGCACGGCAGCACCCCCAGCUUGGUGCCCAUGGGGGAUGGGAGGCUCCUGUCAGAGGCUAGUGCCGGACACGCUGGAGUCGGGAAGGAAGGCGGUGAGGACCCGGUAGCUCUGGGCCCUGCGGAUCAUGUCCCGGAUCUCCAUGUUCAGCUCCAUCAGCUUGGUGCAGAUCUCAGUCAGGCUCUGGUUAGACCCCACCAACGCGUAAGUGCCCGUCUGUCCCAGAGUUUGAUGACGGAAAUAAAUGUUCAGCAGUGUCUGGACCUCGUCGUCAGAACUGCUUCCAAAGAUGUCAUUGGGCCACAGACUUCUGCAGGCAGAAAAGAGUAGCAGAGGUAAGUUUUAAAUACUGAAGGUGUGUGGAUCUCAUCGCUAGGGUGAGCACCUCCCUCAGCGCUGUGCCAAGCUGGCUCCCCGGGACCCUGAAGGCUGUCCUUGCAUUUUGUGUCCAGAAAGGGUUAGCUCCUAAGUAGAGGACGGGAUUCUGCCAGCGGAAAAAGGACAGCCUUCACCAGAUAGAACUGCAUGGCUCAGCAGUCACCAGUGAAAGAUCUUAGUUCCAUGACCAGGGAUCAAACCUGCCCCUCCCUGCAUUGGAAGUGUGGAGUCUUAACCACUCAACCACAAGGAAUGUCCCCCCUUAGAAAUUUUUGACAUGUCAGAAGUCCAUAGAGUCGAGUGUUCAAGUAGUGCUCAGAAAUGGCUGUGAAAUUCCGUGGCCAUCAGCUAAAAUCACUUACAGCAGAUGAAGCGAUGACCUCUGCAGCUUUCCCAGGGCCAGCUCUGCAGAACCAGGAGGUGAGCUGUGCUAAUUCACUGAAGGCUUGAGGUUGUGGCCUGGAGAGCCCAGAGCUGCAACGCUUUACCCUGACCUACAUUUCUAUGAACUUCAGCUCCCCAGAAGCCACUCCACAAUGAAUUCCACGGGCAACGGAGAGGUCAGUGCUGGCUUUUAAGUCAUGCAGAGAUGUGCCUGUCUUCAGGAUGUGCACAGGUGGAGAAAACACUGGUAAAGCCAUGUCUGGGACUCACACGCCCGCCUUGUUUUACAUCUUAUUAACUGCGCUGUGCCUCAUUCUAGAACUGGUAUUGUAGUCACCCAAUAGCCUAAAGUAUUAACUAAUCAUGCCUGCCUUAAAAAAACAAAAAAACAACUUCAGUUCCAAAAUCCUUCUCACAUAUUAGAAGCACUUUUUUCAGGAGCACGGUUUGUUCUGUUUUGUACACGCACUGGGAAUCCUCCUCCAAGGCUCCUUCCAGGAGGGAACCCAGCACGGGGGCCCUUGCGUCUUAGUACACAGAGAUGGUUCUCACAGCAGCAAAGAGGAACACUGGCGUUUUUCUCGAAAGGCACAACUCUUUCUACUUGGCAUUCACUUCCCCAUUUUGGGGCCUUAGGUACAGAGGCACAUGUUCCUAUCAUAAAGAAAACAACAUCGUGAUGGUUGGCUCUCACCUGCAGGGUCAGGAACUCACUGCACAAGGAUGGUGGAGAGCCACCCAGCUCAAGGUGGCUGCCACUGCUGCUGCCGCUGCUGCCACUUUAGGAAGGCAGGCCUGGUGUUGCUAGCUUUUUAUUUUAUUUUAAGAGAUGCCAUAAAUGCUGUUUUGAGGGUAUGUGUGAACAAUUUAAAGUUUAAAAUGUUUAGUCAAUUAAAAAACUUGUACAAGCUGAAUAAAACAUGUCUGUGAAUUGGUUAUAGCUUAUAGGCUACCUAAGUGUAAACUUUCCUCAUUAAUUUGAUGUCACAACUUUAUACUGAGAAUAGACAAAAAGUCAGAAAAUAUUCAACAUCUAGAAAACAAUUAUAUUCUCUUCCACAAAUCCCACAGUAAUUUCUCACUUAUGUCACCUGUUAAGAAUGACUAGAAAUUGGCUACUGCCAUUAUGGGGCAAGCCUUGGGGUCAGGAGACUUCACAUGCCUGUCUGUACGUGGUCAUCAUCUCUGGCCAACUGACAUCUCUAACUGCUCAAGAGUUUGCUAGGUUUAGUAAGGUAAGCACUAAUCCUCCCACAAAGUCCAUGCUUGUCUGAAAUAGAAUAUACACGUGGAGUAAUUUCUGUCAUGUUGACUUUGCAAUUUAUAUCCAGAUAUAAUUUUAUUUUCCCCAGACAUAGAUUCUUCAAGUGAAAGCUUACUUCCUAAUCCCUGCUUCCAUCUGUCAUCAUGCAAAGAGUGCUCAGAAUAAUGGGCACCAUCAAACUAUUCCAGAAGACAGAGAAUCUGACUUAAAAAAGAGAGCUAGAGUAAAUCACUGGAGGAUAAGCAGUGCUCUGAGGUCAAACAUUUGUUGGGUUUUUCUUUGGAAUGGAAGCCAAAUGGUAGCUCCAAUUAGAAAAAUAAUCUCCCACCAACUCUGGAUAUAAGAUCAAUAUUUAAAUGGAGCAACACCAUCAUUUCUGCACAAGGCCCACCUUGAAGGUGAUUUCUCAUCCUUUGAAGGCCCCACACUCUGACAUGCUUUUCUCGAUGUGAUAGUGUAAUUACAAGUGGACAUCUCUGCCUUGACCAGUAAGUAGCCUCCUAACCUGUCUUCCCAAAUCCUCGCUUGCUCAUUAGGUCUAUUUUCACAGGAGUGUGGGAGAGCCCCAAUCUAAUCACACCCUCCUGUUAACAACUUUUAAUUGGUUCCCAUUGAUGUCAGGAUAAGCACCCAAGCCCUGCAUGGUCUGGCUUCUGCAACUUUUCUCCUGGUCACUUCCUACCUGCCUUGCCAGGCUCCCUUCAGUCCUCACAAAGGGUCAUUUUCCCUGCCACUUUGGGGCCUUCACAGGCUUGCUGAGCCCCUGCCUUCCACCCUGCACCCCUGGCACACUCCAGCUCAGAGCUGAGAUCUCUGCCUGAAUGACACCUCUGUGGAGAAGCCUUCCCGGAACCGCCCUCUCAUUAGGCCAGGUUUUCUGCUAUAUCCUUUCAUAGCUCACUGUUCCCACCUUUCCUUAAUGGCACUUGUCACAGUUUACACACAUAUGACUGUUAAUGUCCAUCUCCCUGAAUAGAUCAGAAGCUCUACCCAGGCAGAAUUCACUGUUGUACCCACCAUGGGGACCACUCAGCAGUAACUAUAGAAUGAGUGACUUCACGCUUUUCUGCUGAGUUUCUUUUACAAGGCGGCACACAUAAGCCAGCUGGACUGAGGUGUAUACUUAAAGCAGUUCUAAAUGAGAAGAAAAAUCUGAGUGAUUGCUGAAAGGUCAACAGAGACUUUCUUCACUGAAAGAAGUGGUUCAGUGAAGAAUUAAUGAUUUUUUUUCCUCUUUUUAAAAUUUUUAAUUGAAAGAUAAUUGCCCUAUGACAUUGGUUUUAUAUUUCUGAACAAAGAACAGUUUUAUUAGGAAAAUGGUUAGUAUAGUUAGUGUCCAGCAGAAAGGUUAUUUUUAUACUUCUGCUUUUCCAAAAAGAAGACCCUCCCCCACCAGUCCCAUCAACACACCAUCAUGCUUGGCUCAUGUCAUUCUUGCUUACUGUACAGGUCUCGUGGGAAUGUAUGGGAUGAUGCUUCCUCCCUCUUCCCUUUUCAAGUUCCACGCUUCUUGGGUGUAUCAAAACCAACACACAAAGUCAGAGCACAGAAAAGAUGAACUCUAACAGGUGUUCAUUACCUUCUCCUCUGAGUCCCCGGGUUGACAGGUAAUCACUCCAUCUCGUGCGCCUCCUGCGAAUGUCGCCUUACAGUUUGCAAGCCACUGUUGUCAGAGAGAGAGACACGGGUGAGCUCAGUGGUGGCUUAAGAAUGUGUUUAUACCAAUUCUGUCAGGGAAAAUAUAAUAGAUUAAGUUUCUAAUCACAGUAAGAUAAAAUUUUACUGCAAUGACUGAAAAGUUUUUGGUUAAAGAUUAACAAUUUAAAAUUAAAAUACCUUUAAUUUUUAAGGGUUCAGCGAUGGCCAUUUUAAAAUUUCAACAUUUAUCGUGUUAUUGUUGUGAUGUAUCUACCCUGAAAAAUAGUGUCACAGACCACUCCAAAUGUUUGUAUAAAUUAAAUCCACAUACAAUUAGAAACCUUUCAUAUGACUGAGAUUAGGAGACAGGGCCGGUACAUCUUCCCAGGCUGGGCCAGCCUGGGCCAUGCAGCCUGACUCUGUUAUGUUGAGGCAGCUUCUAUGGCCCAGGUCUGUGUAACUGUAAGAAAGACCUUACAAUAAUAGCCCAGCUAUUUAAAGAUUCUGCUAGCUUAACUAUCUAGUAUAGUAACUAGUAUAGAUGUGAAAGGAAUCUUUGGGUAGAAAACAGCAAGCCCCAAAGAGCUGAAACUCACACUUGACAUCAAAAGACUGGCUUGUUCACCAACCAGAAUUAAAGGAUUACUUUUAUUAACUGAUGCCCGAGAAGCUGGAAAACAGUGAGUGAAAGAGCCACAGAAAUAGAAGACAAAGGGAAUUGCUGCAGUAGAAUGUUAGAACUCUCUCUUUGACAGUCAUGGAAAUGUAACAAGAAACAAAAACUUAAGAAUGAAUGUCUUCUGUGUAUGAGGUACUUGUGCAGGGCAGUUUACAUACACUGUUUCUAUUUCAAAGGCAAUAUUGAGAACCUUUGAAUCCCACAGACCUGGGUUUAAAUAACCACUUUUCUACCUCCCAGCUAAUGAGAAGAAGAAUAGCAACUCCCAGGGUAGUUGCAAGCAUUACAUGAUUUGAGAGAGAGAACUCUUACCAGGUUAUUGGAUAUAUAAAAAGGACUCAGGAAAAGGACAGCUGCUGUGACUAGUAUAGCAUAUCACUGUCUUAUGGAUGAUGAAUCUGAGAUGACAGGAGGUUAAGGAACUUAUCCAGGGUUACUAACCCUUAAGAAACUGAACUGCAGUUUGAGUUCAAAUUCCAUCUGACUUCAAAAUCCACAAUCUUUUUAUAGUGUCUGGUCUACGAUGGGAAGUGCUCCCUGGAAAUUACACACAAGUAUUUGUGGGAAAUCAGGAGGUCUGCAUGGAUGGUUUCUGAAUCACUUCAGUCUGUAACAUUUUACAGUUUACAUCUUUGAAGGAAGGAGGAAGAAAAGAGCAGGAGCUGAGGCCAAGAGAAACCACGGUGAUGGGGAGAGACAGCUACUGAGAGUGGUGGAGGAGAGAGAUGAGAUCCAUCUCAACCAGUUUUGGGUGAGGUGAACACUGGAAGGACGCAAUUAACAGUUUUAUUAAUCAAUUUCUGAGAAAAGAGAGGUUAUAAUGUUGAUAAAGUGAUACAUUAAACAGAUACCCACUUUCCCCAAUUUCUUGGUUAGAAAAAUUAUAGGGCUAAAAUUGAAAGCUGAAAAAAUUUCUCUUUUGUAGGUAUCAUUUUUAUAUAAUCCAUACUAUUGAUAGUUCUACCACCAUUAAGUUGGAAGACUGGAUACAUCUGUAUUCUCCCAAAAGGGCCUCUCUUGUGUUAUUCACAUCGCCUCCCAAGAGCUCAUGGUGAUUGGGUUCAUUUGGUGUUAAUGAAACUUAUAUGCACAGAGACACAGAUGCUUACUGAGAGAGUGGCCUCUUUCCUGUUGUUGUAGGUAUCCAAAUAUUCUUGCAGUUCUAAAACACUGAACUUGAGCUUGUCCAGAAGUCCACAAGAAAGGAGCUAAUAAAGACAGGAAAAUAAUUUGUAUUAAAACAACUUCCAGAGAGACACCUAGACAAAGGCAUGGCUACACAGAGAGAAAAGACAAGUAUAUUUAGAUGUAAUAUAGAGUGUGUCGGGGGUGGCAUCUGUUUUAAUAACCUGUACAGUUUGUAAUUUUGCUCCACUCUCAGAAGCAAUUGCACUUGAAUAUGACUUGCUAAUUUAAAUUUCCUGUGAAGAUACCCAUUUCCCCCAUAUCAGUUUAGACAGACAGAUCUUAACAAGCAUUCUACAGAAGCCUGCAUUAAGAAUCGGCAUUCAUUUUAUGCAUGGACUCCAGUGUCUUCAUCCAGUAAUACUCCAGGAAAUGUAAAGACAGACCUCCAACUAGGUCUUUGUAUUUAAUUUGCAUUUUAAAUCAUUUAAGAUGGAAAGAUUUCUCAUAUCGUAUUCUUUGCUGCAAGACAGCCAACCACUAAUCAAGUUCUUGGACAGACUGACUCUUCAGAGACUUUCAGAAGUGAAGCACAUCCUCACUGUCUCUAAACCCCAAUGAGUACUGAGCAGAUGAGACGGUUCUGUGAUAUGCAUGGGGGAUGGAAAGAGGUGCCCCUCUCCCCUACAGAGAGCUCGCCGGUCUUGGAAGGUUAGCAUUGUGUUUAUAUAGCAUUCAGCAGUCAGCCAGCGACUACUUUAAUUAUCCUUCAAAUUCAUCAUGUGCAGUGGGGCUGGACGAAUCCAGCAAGAGGGCAGGUGGUCUCUUGGAAGAAGAGAAAGUGACGACAUGGUGCCUCUGGGGAUCCAUCUGGCUGGCUGACCUGGCAUCAUGGGGACUGGCUAGGGCUGCCCUGAGAGGUUAGCUCACCAUGUUCACAGCCUUUAGGGUCAUCAGAGAGAAGCACCAUGGACACAGAGGGAGCACAGGGCUGGGGAGGGGGGUCUCCCUGAUCUCCUGCAGUGACAGCCUCGGCUGGCCACGCACAGCCAUUCCUGUGCAGACCCAGGCCUCUGGGGCUCCCAUCACCACACAGCGCUGCUCACAAACACCAGAAGUAUCUUUCCAACAAACUGCAAUUACACACGUGCUUCCCUGAAGUUCCACACUGUCCACUGGGCAGGCCAACGUGACCAUGGGAGCAGGCCUGGGAUACUCACGGUCUCGGCGUCCACGAAGAGUGUGGGGCACUCGGAGCAGGAGGUAAGCAUCUGGGAAGAGCUGACAAACUUGGAUCCGAUGCCCCGGAGGUUAUCGCCAAGGUAACUGGCUGCGUCACAGGUUAGGAAGCAGAACCUUUUCUGAAUAUUCUGAAAGGCAACAUAAUUACUAUUUGUAAAGACCAUGUUUUAACUUAGGCGCUAGAAAAAAACUUCUUUAAUUCUUAGGAAAAUAUCAAAUCAGCACAGGUCCUGCAUGUAGUGGCAGGCCUGUGUGUGUGUGAGAUAGGAACAGAGUGAGUGUGGACAAAGUUUCUUCUUAAAAUGUCAUUUCCCAAUGUGUGGAUGCCCAUGUAUCUUUUAAAUAAGUGCUGCUUUGCUUUUUUGCUGAUGGCCAGUGCCAGCCAGAAUCUUUUGCCUAGCGUGUUUGUCACAUGAGUAAGUUCUGAGAUUACUUCAGUGUGGGUGAGAGGAAAAAGGUCAUGAGAUACGACUCCUUUCUAUCAUUCCCAGAUCACAGCUCCCAGAGACAGGAGGACUAAAAUGGAGCCACAAAGUCUCUGAAGAAGGAGAGAGUAUAUUCUGUGUGGGACCUGUCUCCCUGAGAGCUUUGCACAUUGUCACCUCAUCAGUGCUCACAACCAGGUAAAGAACCUGAGGUUGAGAGAGGUCAGAGGACUCGAGAUCAUGCAAACAAAUCCACCAAAUACAGGGCAACGUGGUGUCCAGACCACAGGGGAAUAUCGGGAAACUAAGUAAACAGCGCCAGUGAGAUUGUGAUGAAAGAACCGUAGACUGUGUGUCUGAAAUGUGCUUCAUUGCCAGCAUACUGGAACAGCGACUUUGCUCUCAAUCACAGAGCAUCUGAUGGUAGCUGAGAAAGUUCUUAAAGAAAAAUGUAAUAUUAAAAAAAAUAGGAGAAACACAAUUUGUAUUAUUAUUGCAGAUAAAGUCUUAGGAAUUGAUCCAGUCAACUGAUUAAAAAAAGAACCCAGACUCGAGUGUCCCUCCCAGCACCAGCCCCAUGUACCAGCUCACACGACAACCUGCUGCUGUACUGGCAUUAAGUGGAAACUAUACUUUGGAGACGUACAUUAAAAAAGUUCUUUUCCUGCUGCAUUUACUGAGCACCUAUUGUGUGUGAGCCACUGUGCCAGCCACUGGAAUCAAAGCAAGACACCGUUACCUGCCCUCCCCUGCAGGAGACAGACACCUAAACAGGUGAUCAGAGGGCCCUGUUCCUCCAUCCAGCACACAUUACCAUGCCUUAUCUCAUGAUGUCCUCAAGAGAAUCAGCCUCUCAAAAAGUGUCACAGGCUGGCAGGUUGAAGGAAUUCAUGGUGAGUGGGGAUAAAAGAUAAGGAAAAACCACGAAGAAGAAAGAGGUACACCAGAGGUCGAAGUGGAAAGAAGAGAUGGAGAAUGGGCUUGGUUGAAGAUACCACCUGUGGUCCCGAAGGCCUGGCUGCCUGCCUGUGCCUGAUGACGCCAAUGAAAGCCGGAGGGGCCAGCGAGGAUCACGUCCUGGCAGCCCGAACCACCCAGCACAACAUCUCCAUGAUGAACGGAAGAAAGGAUGAAGCAGAGGAAACUGAGGACAAAGUGUAGUGUAAACCCAGCACUUCCCCCCUCCAGGGAGAGACCAGCUGGCAGCUGCGGAGCCUUUGUGGGCAGCAUACCUUAAACAGGGAGGAGAACACGUGGAACGUGUACACAGCACAGGAGCCAUCCGAGUCGCACAUGAGCUGGUUGAUGUGGCUGCGCCAGGCCUCCUCGGCGUCAUCACAGGCUGUGGGCUGAAAGGCGGCAAGGAUGGCCGAGAAGAAGGGCGAGGGAGGGGGCGACACUCCCCUCUCACCUUCCCCAAAGCUGGAAAAAACACAGACAACAAAGUCAGGAACAGCGUCCUCACCUUUGCCGGCAGUGUUGGUUCUCACCCGAGGCACCCUCCUGCCCUCUCUUCCCAUGGGGGUUGCUUCUGGAGCCUGGCUCUCAGUCAGAGGUCUUGAGAUUCAGAUUCUAGAAAAGAGAAUUUUUCACCUCUGGGAUUCCGUAAUUCCCGAGAUUCCCCAACUCUGAUACGGGACCGCUUUUUAUCCUUCAGCAACUGACCCUCACUUUCCUGCCGGCCUUUCCCCAGACACAGGGCACAUUCACUCCUGUGCUUUGACCCAUUUCAGUCUUUUUAAUUUUUCACUUUAAAAAAAUGAGAAAAAUUUUGAAUCUUUUCACUUUUCCUUUGUGGAGGGAGAGUAAUAGUGGGUGCAUUACACAUACAUGAUUAGGAGAAAAAAGGCAGAGAAAGGAAAAUAAGAGAAAUUCACAGUGAGACAGAGGGAAACAAAGAAAGGAGAGAAAAAUAUAUGAACUGAAAAGUCAACAUUUCUUCUCUAGGUAUCACCCUAAGCUGUUUCUCUGACAAAAGGAUACGUGUCACCAUAACAGAAAGCCUCUGUCUGGCCAUGUCAGAAGCAGUGUUCAGAGGAGUGAUUUUAGGAUUCUGACUUUCUUCUCCUGAAGCGGAUCUGUAGCAUUAUUUGUGAUUUAUCCUAGAUGCCACAUUAAGUUUUUUUAAAAAGAAUCUAUUCCUUUAUGUUUCCUGUUUAUAUUCCCUGACUAGAUCUCACUUGUCUCAGAAAUGUCAGUCUUGAAGCUGAAAGCCACCCACAUAAAAAAAAAAAAGUAGUCGUAUCCAGGCUAAAGCUGUCGCUGCAUUCGAAAGUGGCCGGGAGUUCAUUGAUGGAGCUGGAAAGGUCAUCCUCCUGCACGGUGGCGUCCUCCUCUUCCUGGACGGCAUCAGCCUGGGAGCAAAGGAGAGAAAGGAAUCCCCCAACAUCCUUUUCUGAGAGUUCCCAAAGAAGCUGUCAGAAGAUUACCAUAUUUGAUCCACACUUAAGGAGUAUAAAUGCUAAACUUGGAAGCGACCCCCUGGGUCUGACCUCCACUUUCAAAGAUGAGGAAGUAGAUGCUCCACACAGGAAAAGGACAUGCCUAAUACCAGGAAACAGUUCCCUCCCUGGACCUGGAUGGAUUGACCUGGUACCAAGGACUGUUGCUGAAUUGUACAUGUGUACCGAGAACUGGGCUAAGUGGCAAGGUAGAGUGUUACAGAAAGAUUCCAGAUAUAUCUCAGGUUGUCUCUACAAAUUAUCAUAUAUUAAGUAAGUUUAUUUAAUUGAAUAUAAUUUCUUCCCCCUAAAAACAAAUGUAGGUUUUAUUUCUCUCCAGGAAUAAAGCAAGAGAAAUAUUACUCACCCAUUGAUGAGCAAAUUUGAACCUAAACCAAAUAGGUAAUCUGAAUAAAAUCUAGCACAGAAUCUUAUCAUGUACAUUAACCAUUUUAAACACAGAUGGUUCACUGAAAUAAACUUUCUGAUGAGAGCUCAGUUAAUAGCAUAAUCAUAUAAUUUCAGGGAGAGAUAUAAAUUACUAUUAAAAUUAAUGAGUUUUUUCCUCUGGUUUUAUGGGUCUAUUUUUUCUGGCUCCUAAUAAAAUAAAGCCUACCAUUCUAACAGAUCUCUGGUAUAAUGCAACAGGUAAGAAUCCUGAACACAUUCUGGAUAUUAUGUGGAAAUUAUCAUUAUUCACCCCAUUUAUGAUAUUUAUGAUUAUCCUUAGGAUUGUUUGAUUAUACGACUCAGUAUUUGAUUUCUAUAGUUUAUAGCUCUAUCUGUACCUUUUAUCUGUAACUACUAUGCUACAUUACCACCAAAUGAUUUUUAUUUAUUUAUUUUUUAUUGAGGUGCAGUUGAUUUGCAGUGUUAUACAACUGAAGUGUACAAUAUAGCAAUUCACAUCUUUUUAGAUUAUUCUCCAUUUAAAGUUAUUGUAAAAUAGUGGCUAUAUUCCCUGUGCUGUGUAAUAUUUCCUCCUAACUUAUUUUAUACCUAACAGUUUGUUUUUAACCCUGGUAGGGAAGGCUUACUAUUGUGCUGGUAUUUUAAAACAGCUGUUUCACGGAAAGAAUGAAAAAAAUGUGGAAGAGGCAAGAGUUCCAGGAAGAAAAAGAAAACACAGUAUGUGAAGAAAUAAAGAGGGUAAAGAAAAAUGAGAUUACAAAACAGAAAAGGAAUGUGACAAUUACUGGGCGAAAUGUACAACUGUGAAACAAAUUCACAGCACUGAUUCUCUUGCACUGAAUCAAUGGAUGGAUUGGAAGAACUGUCUCAGGCAGCAGUUCUGGAAGUCGCCCACCCUGAACCUGGCUCGCACUGAGCUGGCAGAGAGAGAUAUCCAGGGCCAGAGAGCGCUGCACUGGGCACAGUGCCGUCACGUUGAUCUGACCACAGCUCAGGUGAAGAGGAGCUGGGAGUCAGGGAAGCUGUUCUCGAAGGGAUAUUUGGUGUCCUGCUGGAGGAUGCAGUAACUGCAUCGGAGGCAAGGAUGUUGAAACCGUUUCCCUAGUGGCGGCUGAGGGGUUGAAAGCAACAGUAGCCUGGCCUGUGCUGGAGUCUGUGGUGAUUGAAAGGCCACCGGGCCUUCUCGCAGCACAGGACCACCCCCAGUCGUAGAGCUGCCUUCUAGCUCCCCACACCCAGAUGUCGUGUUUGCAUUUUACAUCACCUUUGGGGUCAAAAGCCAAAACUGUCUGUGUGUGAGAAGACUGAGAAGGUGGCUGGCUAUGCUUGAUGGACAGUGUGCAUAUGUUGGUUAUCAAACCUAAAUAACCACUCAGGCAGAGUUCAUACCCAGAUGAGAAAAUACUCACAGUGGAAUACUCUAGAAGUGCUGGAAAUCAUAUUCGUUGAUAUUGGAAUACCAAAAAAAGAAUUAUUGUAGAAGGAACUUAGAAGUCAAAACAUGUUCCCCAAAAUGACCCUACUCAGACUUAAGCCUAUAAGACAUGGAUAUAGUGUGCUCAUAGGUCAUUCUGUCCAGGAUAACACUGGCUUAUGCCCGUUGUCUGGGUGUAAUCAUUACCAGACUCCUUUUUAGUUGUAAAAGGUCCUCACUUGGAUAGUCAUUCACCCUACAAAGAUAGCUCUUAAUUGCUAGAAAAUAAAAGCAGUUGAUUGGAA